UGGGGAAUAUUGCACAAUGGGCGAAAGCCUGAUGCAGCAACGCCGCGUGAGUGAUGAAGGCCUUCGGGUUGUAAAGCUCUGUCUUCUGGGACGAUAAUGACGGUACCAGAGGAGGAAGCCACGGCUAACUACGUGCCAGCAGCCGCGGUAAUACGUAGGUGGCAAGCGUUGUCCGGAUUUACUGGGCGUAAAGGAUGCGUAGGCGGAUACUUAAGUCAGAUGUGAAAAUCCCGGGCUUAACUUGGGAACUGCAUUUGAAACUGGGUAACUAGAGUGCGGGAGAGGAAAGUGGAAUUCCUAGUGUAGCGGUGAAAUGCGUAGAGAUUAGGAAGAACACCAGUGGCGAAGGCGACUUUCUGGACCGUAACUGACGCUGAGGCAUGAAAGCGUGGGGAGCAAACA
rnacentral:rRNA from 1 species